rnacentral:rRNA from 1 species
GGGUUGUGAGGUUAAGCGACCAAGCGUACACGGUGGAUGCCCUGGCAGUCAGAGGCGAUGAAGGACGUGCUAAUCUGCGAAAAGCGCCGGUAAGGUGAUAUGAACCGUUAUAACCGGCGAUGUCCGAAUGGGGAAACCCAGUGUGACUCGUCACACUAUCAUUAACUGAAUCCAUAGGUUAAUGAGGCGAACCGGGGGAACUGAAACAUCUAAGUACCCCGAGGAAAAGAAAUCAACCGAGAUUCCCCCAGUAGCGGCGAGCGAACGGGGAGGAGCCCAGAGCCUGAAUCAGCAUGUGUGUUAGUGGAAGCGUCUGGAAAGGCGCGCGAUACAGGGUGAGAGCCCCGUACACAAAAGCGCACAUGCUGUGAGCUCGAUGAGUAGGGCGGGACACGUGGUAUCCUGUCUGAAUAUGGGGGGACCAUCCUCCAAGGCUAAAUACUCCUGACUGACCGAUAGUGAACCAGUACCGUGAGGGAAAGGCGAAAAGAACCCCGGCGAGGGGAGUGAAACAGAACCUGAAACCGUGUACGUACAAGCAGUGGGAGCCCCACCACUAAGCCAGUGGUGAACUCCACAUACGCAUCCUUUGCGGAAGAUGCGGUUAACGGAGCGAAAGCGACGUUCAACCUCAGAAGAAGCAGAGGGGGCUUAGUGGUGGGGUGACUGCGUACCUUUUGUAUAAUGGGUCAGCGACUUAUAUUCUGUAGCAAGGUUAACCGCAUAGGGGAGCCGAAGGGAAACCGAGUCUUAAUUGGGCGUUAAGUUGCAGGGUAUAGACCCGAAACCCGGUGAUCUAGCCAUGGGCAGGUUGAAGGUUGGGUAACACUAACUGGAGGACCGAACCGACUAAUGUUGAAAAAUUAGCGGAUGACCUGUGGCUGGGGGUGAAAGGCCAAUCAAACCGGGAGAUAGCUGGUUCUCCCCGAAAGCUAUUUAGGUAGCGCCUCGUGAACUCAUCUCCGGGGGUAGAGCACUGUUUCGGCUAGGGGGCCAUCCCGGCUUACCAACCCGAUGCAAACUGCGAAUACCGGAGAAUGUUAUCACGGGAGACACACGGCGGGUGCUAACGUCCGUCGUGAAGAGGGAAACAACCCAGACCGCCAGCUAAGGUCCCAAAGUCAUGGUUAAGUGGGAAACGAUGUGGGAAGGCCCAGACAGCCAGGAUGUUGGCUUAGAAGCAGCCAUCAUUUAAAGAAAGCGUAAUAGCUCACUGGUCGAGUCGGCCUGCGCGGAAGAUGUAACGGGGCUAAACCAUGCACCGAAGCUGCGGCAGCGACACUGUGUGUUGUUGGGUAGGGGAGCGUUCUGUAAGCCGUUGAAGGUGUCCUGUGAGGGGUGCUGGAGGUAUCAGAAGUGCGAAUGCUGACAUAAGUAACGAUAAAGCGGGUGAAAAGCCCGCUCGCCGGAAGACCAAGGGUUCCUGUCCAACGUUAAUCGGGGCAGGGUGAGUCGACCCCUAAGGCGAGGCCGAAAGGCGUAGUCGAUGGGAAACGGGUUAAUAUUCCCGUACUUGGUGUUACUGCGAAGGGGGGACGGAGAAGGCUAUGUUGGCCGGGCGACGGUUGUCCCGGUUUAAGCGUGUAGGUGUGUGUUCCAGGUAAAUCCGGUUCACUUUAACACUGAGGCGUGAUGACGAGGCACCACGGUGCUGAAGCAACAAAUGCCCUGCUUCCAGGAAAAGCCUCUAAGCAUCAGGUAACAUCAAAUCGUACCCCAAACCGACACAGGUGGUCAGGUAGAGAAUACCAAGGCGCUUGAGAGAACUCGGGUGAAGGAACUAGGCAAAAUGGUGCCGUAACUUCGGGAGAAGGCACGCUGACACGUAGGUGAAGUGAUUUACUCAUGGAGCUGAAGUCAGUCGAAGAUACCAGCUGGCUGCAACUGUUUAUUAAAAACACAGCACUGUGCAAACACGAAAGUGGACGUAUACGGUGUGACGCCUGCCCGGUGCCGGAAGGUUAAUUGAUGGGGUCAGCGCAAGCGAAGCUCCUGAUCGAAGCCCCGGUAAACGGCGGCCGUAACUAUAACGGUCCUAAGGUAGCGAAAUUCCUUGUCGGGUAAGUUCCGACCUGCACGAAUGGCGUAAUGAUGGCCAGGCUGUCUCCACCCGAGACUCAGUGAAAUUGAACUCGCUGUGAAGAUGCAGUGUACCCGCGGCAAGACGGAAAGACCCCGUGAACCUUUACUAUAGCUUGACACUGAACAUUGAGCCUUGAUGUGUAGGAUAGGUGGGAGGCUUUGAAGCGUGGACGCCAGUCUGCGUGGAGCCGACCUUGAAAUACCACCCUUUAAUGUUUGAUGUUCUAACGUGGACCCGUAAUCCGGGUUGCGGACAGUGUCUGGUGGGUAGUUUGACUGGGGCGGUCUCCUCCUAAAGAGUAACGGAGGAGCACGAAGGUUGGCUAAUCCUGGUCGGACAUCAGGAGGUUAGUGCAAUGGCAUAAGCCAGCUUGACUGCGAGCGUGACGGCGCGAGCAGGUGCGAAAGCAGGUCAUAGUGAUCCGGUGGUUCUGAAUGGAAGGGCCAUCGCUCAACGGAUAAAAGGUACUCCGGGGAUAACAGGCUGAUACCGCCCAAGAGUUCAUAUCGACGGCGGUGUUUGGCACCUCGAUGUCGGCUCAUCACAUCCUGGGGCUGAAGUAGGUCCCAAGGGUAUGGCUGUUCGCCAUUUAAAGUGGUACGCGAGCUGGGUUUAGAACGUCGUGAGACAGUUCGGUCCCUAUCUGCCGUGGGCGCUGGAAGACUGAGGGGGGCUGCUCCUAGUACGAGAGGACCGGAGUGGACGCAUCACUGGUGUUCGGGUUGUCAUGCCAAUGGCACUGCCCGGUAGCUAAAUGCGGAAAAGAUAAGUGCUGAAAGCAUCUAAGCACGAAACUUGCCCCGAGAUGAGUCUUCCCUGAGACCUUGAGUCUCCUGAAGGAACGUUAAAGACGAUGACGUUGAUAGGCCGGGUGUGUAAGCGCAGCGAUGCGUUGAGCUAACCGGUACUAAUGAACCGUGAGGCUUAACCUUACAACGCCGAAG